GAGUUUAUCCUGGCUCAGAACGAACGCUGGCGGCAGGCUUAACACAUGCAAGUCGAGCGCCCCGCAAGGGGAGCGGCAGACGGGUGAGUAACGCGUGGGAACGUACCCUUUACUACGGAGUAACGCAGGGAAACUUGUGCUAAUACCGUAUGUGCCCUUCGGGGGAAAGAUUUAUCGGUAAGGGAUCGGCCCGCGUUGGAUUAGCUAGUUGGUGGGGUAAAGGCCUACCAAGGCGACGAUCCAUAGCUGGUCUGAGAGGAUGAUCAGCCACAUUGGGACUGAGACACGGCCCAAACUCCUACGGGAGGCAGCAGUGGGGAAUAUUGGACAAUGGGCGCAAGCCUGAUCCAGCCAUGCCGCGUGAGUGAUGAGGGCCCUAGGGUUGUAAAGCUCUUUCACCGGAGAAGAUAAUGACGGUAUCCGGAGAAGAAGCCCCGGCAACUUCG
rnacentral:rRNA from 1 species